UGGGAGUAGAGAGUGGUGGAGAGAAAGAGAGAAGGUCAGAGAGGUCAGUAAAGUCCAGACCAUGCACAGCUUCAGGUCAGGUGAAGAAUGGGAAGCUAUUGGCAGAUUUUAAGCAGGGGAAUGUCAUGAUCUAAUGUUUUCAAAAGACCACUCUAGCAGGAGUGUGGUGGAGUGAGAGUGGGUGUGGGAAGAGCAGUUAUAUGACCAUUUAAGCGAUCUUAGCAGACAUGAUGGCAGCUCUGCAAUGAAGACCAGGAGAUGAACACGGGAUACAUUUUGGAGUUGUAGCUGAUCGGGCAUACUGAUGGAUUAGAGGGGGGUAGCAGUAAGCAAGGGGUCUUUGAAGAGUUCACCCAGGAGCUUCAAAAUGAGGAACAGUGCUUGCAAUUUCCUUGAAUACUAAGAACAUCCAGCUAUUUGUAGACAGAUAAAAGAGAGCAGCCCCCAGAGGUGCUGAUCCAGCCAAGAUAGCUCAUCCAGUUCUCAACAGGACUAAAGGACUUAUCCUAUGCCUAGUUUUUCACUCCCCUCAGAGGGUCAGGUGAACUGGGGAGCAAGAGGAACUGGCGCCUUUCCCUACUUCUCUUUCAAUUCGUUUAUUGAGGUAACUGCACUGGGGAAAAGAUUAUAUCCAAAACUUUUGGAUUGCUCGACAUUAGAUGUUAACUCUGAGCUAAUACUAAUUUCCAGGGACCCAGAAUGAACUUAUCAAUGGAUAUCAGGAAUGGAGAUGACACAUGAAUAAGCACAGUAACAAGGAUUUCCCCUCACCAGGAUGACGUGGCCUUUGCCAUUGCUGAGAACCCAUUUUGCACGCAAUGUUUUCCCGGAUAAUAAAUGACACAGCUGGGAUUUAUUCAGGUGUUCUGACUCCAAAGUCCUUGCUCCUGAUCACCAUGCGCUACCGACUUUGAGCAGUGAUGUCUCACAGAUGGGAAUGAUUCCUCUGAAGGACUGAACAGAAGUAGCUGUGCAACCACCACUAGAAGCCUUCUGAGCGUGUUACUGAAGAGGAUGAGGCAGGAGGCUUCCAGAGGCAACAGCCAAGACUAAGCCAUCAACCACAGGGCCAAACCCAGUAAAAAAGAAAAAUAAGAACACUUCCACUUAAAGAACUGCUGCAAUUAUACUGUUCCUUUUUUUUUUCCAUUAACAUGUCUUUCCUUUUAUGAUGGCGAGAGUUAAUAUUAAGGUGUGCAUAUAUGUUUGUUAAACGAUCUCAUUUUGCAAUUAAAAGUUUGCACUUAUAUUAA